rnacentral:piRNA from 1 species
UCUGUACGGAUUUUUUCGAAU